rnacentral:rRNA from 1 species
UACGUAGGGGGCAAGCGUUGUCCGGAAUCAUUGGGCGUAAAGAGCGCGUAGGCGGCCCUGUAAGUCCGCUGUGAAAGUCAAGGGCUCAACCCUUGGAUGCCGGUGGAUACUGCAGGGCUAGAGUCCGGAAGAGGCGAGUGGAAUUCCUGGUGUAGCGGUGAAAUGCGCAGAUAUCAGGAGGAACACCGGUGGCGAAGGCGGGUCUCUGGGCCGAUAUCGACGCUGAGGAGCGAAAGCGUGGGGAGCGAACAGG